ACUCCUACGGGAGGCAGCAGUGGGGAAUCUUGGACAAUGGGCGCAAGCCUGAUCCAGCCAUGCCGCGUGAGUGAUGAAGGCCCUAGGGUCGUAAAGCUCUUUCGCCAGGGAUGAUAAUGACAGUACCUGGUAAAGAAACCCCGGCUAACUCCGUGCCAGCAGCCGCGGUAAUACGGAGGGGGUUAGCGUUGUUCGGAAUUACUGGGGCGUAAAGCGCGCGUAGGCGGAUUAGUCAGUUAGAGGUGAAAUCCCGGGGCUCAACCCCGGAACUGCCUUUAAUACUGCUAGUCUUGAGUUCGAGAGAGGUGAGUGGAAUUCCGAGUGUAGAGGUGAAAUUCGUAGAUAUUCGGAGGAACACCAGUGGCGAAGGCGGCUCACUGGCUCGAUACUGACGCUGAGGUGCGAAAGUGUGGGGAGCAAACAGGAUUAGAUACCCUGGUAGGAUAGCG
rnacentral:rRNA from 1 species